rnacentral:lncRNA from 1 species
UAGAAGUUAAUGCCGUUGUGUUUUGUGAUUUGUUGAAGUGUUUUCAUAUUUGCUGUCGUGUUUUCAUAUUUGCUGUCGUGUUUUCAUAUUGCUGUCGUGUUUUCCUAUUUGCCGUCGUGUUUUCCUAUUUGCUGUCGUGUUUUCCUAUUUGCUGUCGUGUUUUCCUAUUUGCCGUCGUGUUUUCAUAUUUGCCGUCGUGUUUUCAUAUUUGCUGUCAUGUUUUCCUAUUUGCCGUCGUGUUUUCAUAUUUGCUGUCGUGUUUUCCUAUUUGCUGUCGUGUUUUCCUAUUUGCCGUCGUGUUUUCAUAUUUGCCGUCGUGUUUUCAUAUUUGCCGUCGUGUUUUCCUAUUUGCUGUCGUGUUUUCAUAUUUGCCGUCGUGUUUUCCUAUUUGCCGUCGUGUUUUCCUAUUUGCCGUCGUGUUUUCAUAUUUGCCGUCGUGUUUUCCUAUUUGCCGUCGUGUUUUCCUAUUUGCCGUCGUGUUUUCAUAUUUGCCGUCGUGUUUUCAUAUUUGCCGUCGUGUUUUCCUAUUUGCCGUCGUGUUUUCAUAUUUGCCGUCGUGUUUUCCUAUUUGCCGUCGUGUUUUCAUAUUUGCUGUCGUGUUUUCAUAUUUGCCGUCGUGUUUUCAUAUAUGCCGUCGUGUUUUCCUAUUUGCUGUCGUGUUUUCAUAUUUGCCGUCGUGUUUUCCUAUUUGCCGUCGUGUUUUCAUAUUUGCCGUCGUGUUUUCAUAUUUGCUGUCGUGUUUUCCUAUUUGCCGUCGUGUUUUCCUAUUUGCCGUUGUGUUUUCCUAUUUGCCGUCGUGUUUUCCUAUUUGCCGUCGUGUUUUCCUAUUUGCCGUCGUGUUUUCAUAUUUGCUGUCGUGUUUUCAUAUUUGCCGUCGUGUUUUCAUAUUUGCCGUCGUGUUUUCCUAUUUGCCGUCGUGUUUUCAUAUUUGCUGUCGUGUCUUCAUAUUUGCCGUUGUGUUUUUCUAUUUGCUGUCGUGUUUUCAUAUUUGCUGUCGUGUUUUCAUAUUUGCUGUCGUGUUUUCCUAUUUGCUGUCGUGUU